GCGAAUGCCGGGAAGGACUACAUUGGUAAUGCGGCUGUCGCGGGUUCGAAUCCCGCCUGCCCGCA
rnacentral:tRNA from 1 species